GUGGGGAAUAUUGGGCAAUGGGCGCAAGCCUGACCCAGCAACGCCGCGUGAAGGAAGAAGGCUUUCGGGUUGUAAACUUCUUUUACCAGGGACGAAACAAAUGACGGUACCUGGUGAAUAAGCCACGGCUAACUACGUGCCAGCAGUCGCGGUAAUACGUAGGUGGCGAGCGUUAUCCGGAUUUAUUGGGUGUAAAGGGCGUGUAGGCGGGACAGCAAGUCAGAUGUGAAAACCAGAGGCUCAACCUCUGGCCUGCAUUUGAAACUGUUGUUCUUGAGUGUCGGAGAGGUAAUCGGAAUUCCGUGUGUAGCGGUGAAAUGCGUAGAUAUACGGAGGAACACCAGUGGCGAAGGCGGAUUACUGGACGAUAACUGACGCUGAGGCGCGAAAGCGUGGGGAGCAAACAGGAUUAGAAACCCCGGUAGUCC
rnacentral:rRNA from 1 species